rnacentral:rRNA from 1 species
UACGUAGGGGGCAAGCGUUGUCCGGAUUUAUUGGGCGUAAAGAGCUCGUAGGCGGUUGGGCAAGUCACGUGUGAAAUCUCCACGCUCAACGUGGAGGCGCCACGUGAGACUGCCCUGACUCGAGUCCGGUAGGGGAGCCUGGAAUUCCCGGUGUAGCGGUGAAAUGCGCAGAGAUCGGGAGGAACACCCGUAGCGAAGGCGGCGCUCUGGGCCGGUACUGACGCUGAGGAGCGAAAGCGUGGGUAGCAAACAGG